UGAUUGGCCAGAUACUCACGUGGAUACAACAGACCGACAGUGGGACUUCUUUUUAGUAAGUGUGUUGUUCGCGAGAGUGAUUUCCGAGAGAGAAGACCGACAGGAAGUACAAUCACAGAGCCACUGGAAGCAAGACACUUUCUCCAGACUUGAAAACUCUGUAAAGUAAUACAAUUCUGUGUAAACAUGUUGCUGACAACUGUUCUCCAUCUUCUGUGUCUGGCUUCAUUGGCUGCUGCCUUUCUUUUUAAUCGAGCCAGUUGGGAUGGUCUGAAAGUGACCUGGGGCAUGGACACUCACAACCCCAACACCUUCGCCGCACUGCCGAGACAAGAGAGUGAGGCCAAACAAGACGGGUGGACCAAGAUAGCCGACUGCGACAGCAGCAGCAAGUUUCGGGGGUGCGUUACGUGAAGGACAACGACUACUCCAUCAUCCUUUUGUUCGACAGAAAUGGUUACAUCGCAGGAAUACAGUGCGGGAUACCCAAGGCGAACCUGACGGAUAACUAUCCUCCGGUUACCCAACUCUCCGUAUUCCAGGAGGACGGUGACCGCCGGACUCUGACUGCCUACUUCACUAACCCAGGGAAG